rfam:Ruminococcus callidus ATCC 27760 genomic scaffold Scaffold545, whole genome shotgun sequence.
GUCGGUGUUUAUGGCAAAGAGGUUCCACCCGUUCCCUUUCCGAACACGGAAGUUAAGCUCUUUUACGCCUACGAUACUUGAUCAUCUUGAUCUGGAAAAAUUGGGCAAUGCCGGCA